rnacentral:lncRNA from 1 species
UUAAAAAGAGAGUCGAACUUUAUAAACUUUGAUCAAUAAGUAGCUAGUCUAAUUAUUUGCAUGAUUAGUAUAUAAACGUUGUAAACAUAGAUUCACAUUUAAAAUAUCUUUUAAGAAAACUCGAUUUUGUAGCAAUUGAUUGUAUAUUGUAAGAAUAAUUUGGUGGUCAACGUAUACUUCUAAAGAUUUUUCUGAAUCCUGAUACACUUUAUAAAAUGAGUAACAAAAGCUUUCUAGCAACAAAUUAAUUAUAAAUAUAUGCAACAAUAAGGUGAUGCGUCAUUAAGAAAUGACAUGACAUAAUAGCAUAUUGGUAAAAAGCUUAUACACCACUGACGUGAAGCUUGUUGGAAAGAAAUUCAUAUAUUCA